ACAUCCCAGCAACUGGACAGGGGCCAUGGAGAGGAAGCUGGGAGCUGUGCUGGGGAUUCUGUGUGUGCAGAUUUGCUUGGUGAGAGGAGUUGAAGUGGAGCAAAGUCCUUCAGCCCUGAGUCUCCAUGAAGGAUCCAGUUAUGCUCUGACAUGCAAGUUUUCUACAACCAUGAAAAAUGUGCAGUGGUUCCGACAGAAUCCCAUGGGCAGUCUCAACAAUCUUUUUUACCUGGUUCAAGGAAUAAAGAAGAAUGGGAGAUUAACUGCAACAUUUGACUCUAAGGAGCGCAACAGCACCCUGCACAUCAGGGAUGCCCAGCUGGAGGACUCAGGCACCUACCUCUGUGCUGCUGAUGCAGUGUUUCCAACAAGCCUGCAGACUUGCCCCAAAGUGCAUCUGGGUGUGCAGCUACCACCCUAACACAGGAAGACUCUGCAGGAGGCUUUUGCACAGCUGUGGCUUUAUCAGAUCUCCACCAAUUAUCGGGAAGGUGUGAGGAAACACAAAAUUACCACAACACAAAUUCAUACUUCAACUGAUAUAAUACUGACUUGUACAAGGAUAAAUGCUCUGAAAUAAAUGCUCUGAAAUGAGUAAAAUCUACACUUUAUUUUAACAAAUGCUUCCAGCUCAUCUGCUCAACAUGAAUUUGAUUAAAUAAUUAAUUUUGAAGAUAUAAUAAAUUAUGU